rnacentral:rRNA from 1 species
GCAUUGUUUAAGAACGCAGCGAAAUGCGAUACUUGGUGUGAAUUGCAGAAUCCCGUGAACCAUCGAGUCUUUGAACGCAAGUUGCGCCCGAAGCCAUUAGGCCGAGGGCACGUCUGCCUGGGCGUCAC